GAUGAACGCUGGCGGCGUGCCUAAUACAUGCAAGUCGAGCGAACAGACGAGGAGCUUGCUCCUCUGACGUUAGCGGCGGACGGGUGGGUAACACGUGGAUAACCUACCUAUAAGACUUGGAUAACUUCGGGAAACCGGAGCUAAUACCGGAUAAUGUAUUGAACCGCAUGGUUCAAUAGUGAAAGACGGUUUUGCUGUCACUUAUAGAUGGAUCCGCGCCGCAUUAGCUAGUUGGUAAGGUAACGGCUUACCAAGGCAACGAUGCGUAGCCGACCUGAGAGGGUGAUCGGCCACACUGGAACUGAGACACGGUCCAGACUCCUACGGGAGGCAGCAGUAGGGAAUCUUCCGCAAUGGGCGAAAGCCUGACGGAGCAACGCCGCGUGAGUGAUGAAGGUCUUCGGAUCGUAAAACUCUGUUAUUAGGGAAGAACAAAUGUGUAAGUAACUAUGCACGUCUUGACGGUACCUAAUCAGAAAGCCACGGCUAACUACGUG
rnacentral:rRNA from 1 species